AGAUUUUUUUUUUUUUGGAGGCUGGGAAGUCCAAGAGAAUGGCAUCAGCAUCAGCUGAGGGCUUUCACACAAUGUUGUAACAUGGUGGUGGGCAUCCCGUGGAAAUGCUUAUAAAGCAUGAGAGAAACAAGAACAAGCUGGGGACAAAAAGGAGGUGGAAUUCAUCCUUUUAUCAGGAGCUUACUGCAGAGCUAACAACCCACUCCUGUUCACUCAUGAAGGCAGAGCCCUGGUGACCUAAUCAGCUCUUAAAGAUUCCACCUCUUAAUAUCAUCACAAUGGCAAUGAAAUUCCAGCAUGAGCUUUGAAAGGGGCAUUCAAACCCUAGCAUGGACUCUGUUCCGGUUUCUGAUUGGGAUGGCAAAAC
rnacentral:lncRNA from 1 species